UCAUCUCAUACUCCAAGCCUUCUGUGAUGGUAGAGAAACUCCUUUUGUACUCCUCAGAGUCCCUUGGUGGUUGGGAGGGUCCCCGGAACAGUAAAUCUGUCAAGGGUGCGUCCCAUUAUUACGUCAUCCCUGAGGCCUAAGAGGCCUCAUUCUGGGAGGCUCAGGAAGUCUUUCAUCUCCAUAAAGGAUCCCACUGCCGUCCACACUAACUCCUGCUAAAAGAGAGUGAAGGCCCUUCUCUGCUUCCAACGCCCCCAAGGCUGCCCUCAUCUUCCCUUCAAGACUUACAUGCGUGUUCCUCGAGAAUCCUUCCACUGAAGGAACAUCGUUUCAAUCCUAGCUACCGGUUUUCCUGUUUGCUUUCCUCCAGGCAUGAAAGAUCACUGAUGACUGAAGAUGAGACACCUGAGGGCAGACUUGAAGCAUGCCAGGGGAUGCCUCCUUGCUGUGGUCUUGACCACCUAUGACCCUUCAUGGAUGGUGGAAGUUGCCUACCAUGGUUAUGGGGAUGCAAGCCUGGUAGCGCUUUUGCCUUUCCCUCAUCCAUUCCACAGCUAUUAAUUGGAAUUCUUUUCGUUCUGCUUCUGGCUAAACCGUUCUUGAUAACUGAAGUAUAUCAACCCAGAACAUGGUUUUGUGCUUAAAAACCUCACUCCGAGAAAGACUCAGGACUACACUGGGAUCCCGAGAAGCCAGUAUAUACUCGCUGCCUAAUGACUUCCUAUUGGCUUAAAGCUGUAUCUGAGUAGUCUUCUCUGGUCAAUGCCCCACAUCAUUUCCUUUACUCUCACAGCUCAGCCUUUGCCUACUGACCACUCUCCUUGUUGACAAAAAGCCUUCCAAUGUUUAGCUCUCUACAAACAAACAUAUUUGGGGGGCAUCAGCUCCUUUUAGUUAUUUUGCAUUGCUGUGACUAAAAUAAAUAAGAGAACAACUUUAAAAA